CUGUGACAUGUAGCAAAUGUAUUGUGUAAAACUUAGCAUGACUGAAUCUGAUUCAGUCAAGGUAAUGUGAUAUAAUCCAUCACAAGUUAUAAAAAAAUAUGGAUAUUAUGGAAGUAUCCCACAAGAAGUAGAACUCAACUAUUUUUCCCUCUAUUGAUGGUAAGAAAAAAACAUCAGGGAGUUUGGCAAGUUUCCAGAGUAAAGGGCAGAAAAUUCCAGCAAUGAUGUAGCAUAAAAUAAUGCAUAUGGUCUGUGGUCUGGAUGAUAGCUUUCACAAAAGAUUGGAUUAGAUGACUGACCAUUUACUCACAGGAGGCUUGGCAGGCUUUCGAGAAUGAUCCAUUAAGGUGCUUAAAGGAAUUUGAGACCAAGCAGUCAUGGGCAGAAAGCAACCACAGGUCACCUCAUCGACAAGAAGAUGCAAAGACAUGUUUUGAGUGUCUUUGCAUGACCAGUCUGACUAAUGAGAGGAAUGAGAGAGAAAGAUAAAAUGACCAGUUUUAUUCUGAGGACAUCAUUGAAAGAUGGGAGCUAAUGAAAUGCAAUACCUGUGAAAUGUCAAAAUGCUACAGUGUUAGAUUAUACAAAAAAAACAGCAAGAAAUGCAUUUACCUAAUAAAGUAAUA